rnacentral:rRNA from 1 species
CCUACGGGCGGCUGCAGUGGGGAAUAUUGGGCAAUGGGCGCAAGCCUGACCCAGCAACGCCGCGUGAGGGAAGAAGGUUUUCGGAUUGUAAACCUCUGUCGCAGAUGACGAAGGAAGUGACGGUAAUCUGUGAGGAAGCCCCGGCUAACUACGUGCCAGCAGCCGCGGUAAUACGUAGGGGGCGAGCGUUGUCCGGAAUUACUGGGCGUAAAGGGAGCGUAGGCGGCCGAUUAAGUUGGAUGUGAAAUCCCCGGGCUUAACUUGGGUGGUGCAUCCAAUACUGGUUGGCUAGAGUACAGGAGAGGAAAGCGGAAUUCCUGGUGUAGCGGUGAAAUGCAUAGAUAUCAGGAGGAACAUCGGUGGCGAAGGCGGCUUUCUGGACUGAAACUGACGCUGAGGCUCGAAAGCGUGGGGAGCAAACAGGCUUAGAUACCCGAGUAGUC